AAGAUACCUACUAGCACUCGCUGGUCCCCAGGUUUAGGACAUGGACACAGUCAGAAAACACAAGGUGACACACGCUGUGGUUUGCUUCAGUGACAGUGAAUGUGGAUUCAGGGAAGGACAAGUAGGGAGAAGAGAGUUACCGUGCCUCUUAGCCAUUCACAUAAAAUGUCACCUGCUUGACUCCGAGCUUAUUCACGCCACUAGCCAUUGACCUGUUAGGACUGUAAAAUCGGGAUUUGUAAAGGUGGCCAUGCCUCUCACUGACUUUAUAACAAGAAGGGGUACAGAAGUUACAGGGUGAGUCCUUCUUUCUCGUCCCUGUGAGAUUUCGCAGGGUCAGCCUGGGGACACAUCAAGCCGUGUACUCUGGCCCUGUGUCCACCAUCCCCGUGAGCCAGGGCAGGUACAGCGGGCUCUCUGCGUGCAGACAGAAGCCGGAAUCGUGCACACUGCCCCUGGGGACCGGGACUGGGCGGAGGGAGGCCGCGCUCCCAGAGAGGAAGUGUUGUGCUUCUCAGGAAGCGCACACCAGUUGUAGGCUCCUCUAGGAAGAGCACGGCUAUUGGGCUCUUGCUGGCUAAGCAGAGCUGGCUGCUGAGGAUUCAGAGAUGUUCGGCCCACGGAAAGACACUGGCCAAAAGAAGAACUUAGACAAGAAAGAUGGGAGGCGAAUGUCUUUCCAGAAGCCUAAAGGGACUAUCGAGUACACUGUCGAAUCAAGAGAUUCUUUGAAUAGCAUAGCCCUGAAAUUUGAUACAACACCCAAUGAACUUGUUCAGUUAAAUAAGUUAUUCUCCCGAUCAGUCGUGACUGGACAGGUUUUGUAUGUUCCCGACCCUGAAUAUGUCUCCAGUGCUGAGAGUUCUCCAUCUCUGAGCCCCGUAAGCCCUCUGUCACCAGCGUCCUCCGAGGCUGAGUUUGAUAAGACCACUAAUCCUGAUGCAGCCCAUCCAAAAGAAGCAACUCCCGUGUCUGCUCUUACUGGUAUUCGACCAGCACGAGUUGUAUCUUCCACAUCUGAAGAAGAAGAAGCAUUUACUGAGAAAUUUCUUAAGAUUAAUUGCAAAUACAUUACCAGUAGCAAGGGCACAGUCAGUGGUGUGCUGCUGGUUACACCAAACAAUAUCAUGUUUGAUCCACAUAAAACUGACCCUUUGGUCCAAGAGAACGGCUGUGAGGAGUACGGCAUCAUGUGUCCAAUGGAGGAGGUGAUGUCCGCCGCCAUGUACAGAGACAUUCUGGACAGCAAAAUAAAGGAGUCUUUACCCAUAGAAAUAGACCUGUUAUCAGGAAGGGACUUCUGCCAUUCAAAGGAUGCAACAGGAAUGAAUACCGAGGAGGUAGACUCAAGAACUCGCGAUGCAGGUAACGACAGUGCCAGCACGGCUCCGAGGAGCACCGAGGAGUCUCUCUCUGAGGAUGUGUUCACGGAGGCAGAGCUCUCUCCCAUCCGAGAGGAGGGAGUCUCUUCGGAUAAGUCAUCUGGGGCGUCCUCAGAAUCCGUACAAACUGUCAGUCAGCCUGGGGUGGUAGGGUUGACAGCCCAGUCAGAGUCUAGUAGUCCUUCUCAUUUAAAAGCCAACACUGGACAUUCUGCCAAAGGAGCUGGGACUGCAUCUCAUGAAACGGAUUUAAGUCAUCUUGAAAUGGCUGCUCAGGAUGGAAAUCAGGGGACAGGUAACCUUCAGGAAGCAUUAGGCCCUACGGAGCCAAGCCCAAGUGUAAAAGGUCGUGCAGACCAGGAUCCUUCUCCUCAUGAGAGUGCCCUACAGCAAGAUGGAGGUGGGAAAGAAACCGUGCCUUGUGGAGAAACAGCAGAAUUUAAACAAAGGCAAACCAUUAACAAAGGCCAGGAAGGAAAGGAACAAAGUCAGGACUCAGAGGUUGAGGAGCUGCGCAAACUCUGGAAAACCCACACCAUGCAGCAAACUAAACAGCACAGGGAAAACAUUCAGCAGGUGUCGCAAAAAGAAAUUCAGCAUAAAAUUGCAUCUGCUGAUGGACAUGUAGAAGGUUCCGCACUUCUAAAGGAAAAGAGGAGGCAUCGAUUGCAUAAAUUCUUAUGUCUCAGAGUUGGGAAACCGAUGAGGAAGACGUUCGUGUCUCAGGCAAGUGCUACAAUGCAGCAGUAUGCACAGAGAGACAAGAAGCAUGAGUACUGGUUCGCCGUGCCGCAGGAAAGGACAGACCACCUGUAUGCCUUCUUCAUUCAGUGGAGCCCAGAAAUCUAUGCAGAAGACACUGGCGAAUGCACCAGAGAACCUGGGUUCAUAGUAGUAAAAAAGAUUGAGGAGUCUGAAGCAAAUGAGGAACCUACUAGUGAAGCAGCAGCCAGAGAAUGGGAGGUAGUGUCAGUGGCUGAGUAUCACCGCAGGAUCGAUGCUCUAAAUACCGAGGAGCUGCGCACUCUCUGCAGACGUCUCCAGAUCACCACCCGGGAAGACAUCAGUUCCAAGCAGGCUGCUCCCGUGAAAGCAGAGCUGGAGUCUGAAUCUUUUCGGCCCAACCUCAGUGACCCCAGCGAGCUCCUGCUGCCAGACCAGAUUGAGAAGCUCACCAAGCAUCUUCCACCAAGAACGAUUGGCUACCCGUGGACGCUGGUCUAUGGGACAGGCAAGCACGGCACCAGCCUGAAGACCCUGUACCGGACCAUGGCAGGUCUGGACACCCCGGUGCUGCUGGUGAUCAAGGAUAGCGACGGCCAGGUCUUUGGUGCAUUAGCAUCGGAGCCAUUCAAAGUGAGUGACGGCUUCUACGGGACCGGAGAGACCUUUGUGUUCACCUUCUGUCCAGAGUUUGAGGUCUUUAAGUGGACCGGAGAUAAUAUGUUUUUUAUCAAAGGAGACAUGGAUUCAUUAGCUUUUGGUGGUGGAGGAGGCGAGUUUGCUCUUUGGCUUGAUGGAGAUCUCUACCACGGAAGAAGCCAUUCUUGUAAAACAUUUGGGAAUCGUACACUUUCUAAAAAGGAAGAUUUCUUUAUCCAAGACAUUGAAAUCUGGGCUUUCGAAUAA
ensembl:lincRNA